rnacentral:rRNA from 1 species
GACGAACGCUGGCGGCGUGCUUAACACAUGCAAGUCGAACGGAAAGGCCCUGAUUUUGUGGGGUGCUCGAGUGGCGAACGGGUGAGUAACACGUGAGUAACCUGACCUUGACUUUGGGAUAACUUCAGGAAACUGGAGCUAAUACAGGAUAGGAGAUCCUGCUGCAUGGUGGGGGUUGGAAAGUUUCGGCGGUUGGGGAUGGACUCGCGGCUUAUCAGCUUGUUGGUGGGGUAGUGGCUUACCAAGGCUUUGACUGGUCGCCGGCCUGUGAGGGUGACCGGCCACAUUGGGACUGAGAUACGGCCCAGACUCCUACGGGGGGCAGCAGUGGGGAAUAUUGCACAAUGGGCGGAAGCCUGAUGCAGCGACGCCGCGUGCGGGAUGACGGCCUUCGGGUUGUAAACCGCUUUCGCCUGUGACGAAGCGGGAGUGACGGUAAUGGGUAAAGAAGCACCGGCUAACUACGUG